UAAUUUUUCGAUCAAUCAAAU
ensembl:piRNA 21ur-4115 ncRNA